rnacentral:rRNA from 1 species
UAGUUUUUUUACGCCUUUCAACGAACGCUGGGGGCUCGCCUAGCACAUGUAAUUCCAACGAAGCACUUCGGGCUUAGUGGCGGAUGGAUUACUAACUCGUGGGAACGUGCCCAUCUCUACUGAAUAGGCCCGGAACACUGGGUUUAAUACCUUAUACUCCCUUCGGGGGAAAGAUUUAUCGUAUAUGGAUCGGACCCCGUUAGAUUAGACAGCUGGUGGGGUAACGGCCUACAACGUCUACGAUCUAUAGCCUGGUUUGAGAGGAUGAUCAGCCGCACUGGGACGUGAGACAAGGACCAGACUCCUACGGGAGGUAGCACCGCGGAAUCUUAUACAAUGGCGGAAACCGUGAUCUAGACAUGCCGCGUGUGUGACGAAUGCCCUGCGGUCGUUUAGCACUCUCGCUGGUCAACAUAAUGACUGUCUCUCCUAAAGAAGUCCCGGCUAACUCCGUGCCUGCAGCCGAGGUAAUACGGACGUGACUAGCCUUGUUCAGAAUUACUGGGCGUAAAGCGCGCGUAGGCGGAUAUUU